AGCGUACACGGUGGAUGCCCUGGCAGUCAGAGGCGAUGAAGGACGUGCUAAUCUGCGAUAAGCGUCGGUAAGGUGAUAUGAACCGUUAUAACCGGCGAUUUCCGAAUGGGGAAACCCAGUGUGAUUCGUCACACUAUCAUUAACUGAAUCCAUAGGUUAAUGAGGCGAACCGGGGGAACUGAAACAUCUAAGUACCCCGAGGAAAAGAAAUCAACCGAGAUUCCCCCAGUAGCGGCGAGCGAACGGGGAGCAGCCCAGAGCCUGAAUCAGUGUGUGUGUUAGUGGAAGCGUCUGGAAAGGCGCGCGAUACAGGGUGACAGCCCCGUACACAAAAAUGCACAUGCUGUGAGCUCGAUGAGUAGGGCGGGACACGUGGUAUCCUGUCUGAAUAUGGGGGGACCAUCCUCCAAGGCUAAAUACUCCUGACUGACCGAUAGUGAACCAGUACCGUGAGGGAAAGGCGAAAAGAACCCCGGCGAGGGGAGUGAAAAAGAACCUGAAACCGUGUACGUACAAGCAGUGGGAGCACGCUUAGGCGUGUGACUGCGUACCUUUUGUAUAAUGGGUCAGCGACUUAUAUUCUGUAGCAAGGUUAACCGAAUAGGGGAGCCGAAGGGAAACCGAGUCUUAACUGGGCGUUAAGUUGCAGGGUAUAGACCCGAAACCCGGUGAUCUAGCCAUGGGCAGGUUGAAGGUUGGGUAACACUAACUGGAGGACCGAACCGACUAAUGUUGAAAAAUUAGCGGAUGACUUGUGGCUGGGGGUGAAAGGCCAAUCAAACCGGGAGAUAGCUGGUUCUCCCCGAAAGCUAUUUAGGUAGCGCCUCGUGAAUUCAUCUCCGGGGGUAGAGCACUGUUUCGGCAAGGGGGUCAUCCCGACUUACCAACCCGAUGCAAACUGCGAAUACCGGAGAAUGUUAUCACGGGAGACACACGGCGGGUGCUAACGUCCGUCGUGAAGAGGGAAACAACCCAGACCGCCAGCUAAGGUCCCAAAGUCAUGGUUAAGUGGGAAACGAUGUGGGAAGGCCCAGACAGCCAGGAUGUUGGCUUAGAAGCAGCCAUCAUUUAAAGAAAGCGUAAUAGCUCACUGGUCGAGUCGGCCUGCGCGGAAGAUGUAACGGGGCUAAACCAUGCACCGAAGCUGCGGCAGCGACGCUUAUGCGUUGUUGGGUAGGGGAGCGUUCUGUAAGCCUGCGAAGGUGUGCUGUGAGGCAUGCUGGAGGUAUCAGAAGUGCGAAUGCUGACAUAAGUAACGAUAAAGCGGGUGAAAAGCCCGCUCGCCGGAAGACCAAGGGUUCCUGUCCAACGUUAAUCGGGGCAGGGUGAGUCGACCCCUAAGGCGAGGCCGAAAGGCGUAGUCGAUGGGAAACAGGUUAAUAUUCCUGUACUUGGUGUUACUGCGAAGGGGGGACGGAGAAGGCUAUGUUGGCCGGGCGACGGUUGUCCCGGUUUAAGCGUGUAGGCUGGUUUUCCAGGCAAAUCCGGAAAACUAAGGCUGAGGCGUGAUGACGAGGCACUACGGUGCUGAAGCAACAAAUGCCCUGCUUCCAGGAAAAGCCUCUAAGCAUCAGGUAACAUCAAAUCGUACCCCAAACCGACACAGGUGGUCAGGUAGAGAAUACCAAGGCGCUUGAGAGAACUCGGGUGAAGGAACUAGGCAAAAUGGUGCCGUAACUUCGGGAGAAGGCACGCUGAUAUGUAGGUGAAGUCCCUCGCGGAUGGAGCUGAAAUCAGUCGAAGAUACCAGCUGGCUGCAACUGUUUAUUAAAAACACAGCACUGUGCAAACACGAAAGUGGACGUAUACGGUGUGACGCCUGCCCGGUGCCGGAAGGUUAAUUGAUGGGGUCAGCGCAAGCGAAGCUCUUGAUCGAAGCCCCGGUAAACGGCGGCCGUAACUAUAACGGUCCUAAGGUAGCGAAAUUCCUUGUCGGGUAAGUUCCGACCUGCACGAAUGGCGUAAUGAUGGCCAGGCUGUCUCCACCCGAGACUCAGUGAAAUUGAACUCGCUGUGAAGAUGCAGUGUACCCGCGGCAAGACGGAAAGACCCCGUGAACCUUUACUAUAGCUUGACACUGAACAUUGAGCCUUGAUGUGUAGGAUAGGUGGGAGGCUUUGAAGUGUGGACGCCAGUCUGCAUGGAGCCGACCUUGAAAUACCACCCUUUAAUGUUUGAUGUUCUAACGUGGACCCGUAAUCCGGGUUGCGGACAGUGUCUGGUGGGUAGUUUGACUGGGGCGGUCUCCUCCUAAAGAGUAACGGAGGAGCACGAAGGUUGGCUAAUCCUGGUCGGACAUCAGGAGGUUAGUGCAAUGGCAUAAGCCAGCUUGACUGCGAGCGUGACGGCGCGAGCAGGUGCGAAAGCAGGUCAUAGUGAUCCGGUGGUUCUGAAUGGAAGGGCCAUCGCUCAACGGAUAAAAGGUACUCCGGGGAUAACAGGCUGAUACCGCCCAAGAGUUCAUAUCGACGGCGGUGUUUGGCACCUCGAUGUCGGCUCAUCACAUCCUGGGGCUGAAGUAGGUCCCAAGGGUAUGGCUGUUCGCCAUUUAAAGUGGUACGCGAGCUGGGUUUAGAACGUCGUGAGACAGUUCGGUCCCUAUCUGCCGUGGGCGCUGGAGAACUGAGGGGGGCUGCUCCUAGUACGAGAGGACCGGAGUGGACGCAUCACUGGUGUUCGGGUUGUCAUGCCAAUGGCACUGCCCGGUAGCUAAAUGCGGAAGAGAUAAGUGCUGAAAGCAUCUAAGCACGAAACUUGCCCCGAGAUGAGUUCUCCCUGACUCCUUGA
rnacentral:rRNA from 1 species